CAAAGUACAAGUGCUGAGACCGAAGGUGGUGAUCUUUGCGAGAGAAGAUCGAAGCGUUGAGAAAUCAUCUGUGGAAGAUUGUCGCGAUGCUAACGUGCAAAUUGCUCGUUGAAAUUUCGUAAAGUGGCGAGAGACCCAUCGAACUACCUAGUAGCUGGUUCCUUCCGAAAUAUCCCACAGGAUAGCUGGCUACGUCUCUCGAGGUCAAAGUAAGUAUCGUGAGGUAGAGAGACUGAUUGAAGUACUGGGGGCUCUUUUGCCCUUCGACUGCAAUCACACUCCCAAUAACCGAGGCACUUUAAACAGAACACUGUUCUGAAAGAAGGUUCGUAUUAAGCGUGGCCAAGUGGACCACGCCUGGUAAGCAGGUCUGGUAAUGCGGGAUCAACCGAACACACUGUUAAGACGGCUUUCACUUUGCUCAGUGAUCCCCCAAACGAGCGUACUCAGAUAUAGACAGCGGG
rnacentral:rRNA from 1 species